UCCGUCUGAGAGAAAAAGAACUGCUUAGAUAAGGUGAAUGAAAGAGUCAUAUGUAUGACUCAGUUCUUUCAUUUGCCUUCCAAACACAUCAGUGGCUCUAGUGGAUCACAGGUCCACUGGGGCUCUAAAGAAGCCCAAGAGCGAGCAACGCGGAGGAAACGGGAGAAAACGGGAGUGAACGGAGAGCUUAGUGACCAUCAUGAGCCUCCUCAACAAGCCCAAGAGUGAGAUGACCCCAGAGGAGCUGCAGAAGCGAGAGGAGGAGGAAUUUAACACGGGUCCACUCUCUGUGCUCACUCAGUCAGUCAAGAACAACACCCAAGUGCUCAUCAACUGUCCCAACAAUAAGAAACUCCUGGGCCGCGUGAAGGCCUUCUAUAGGCACUGCAACAUGGUGCUGGAGAACGUGAAGGAGAUGUGGACUGAGGUCCCUAAGAGCGGCAAGGGCAAGAAGAAAUCCAAGCCAGUCAACAAAGACUGCUACAUCUCCAAGAUGUUCCUGCGCGGGGACUCGGUCAUCGUGGUCCUGCGGAACCCGCUCAUCGCCGGCAAGUAGGGGCUGCCUAUCCAUCGACAGAACUCACUCUCCUGUCCUAUGAAGACCGUUGCCACUGGUGUUGAGAAUAAUAAAGCUCUGUGUUUUUUUCUUAAAAAAAAAA